rfam:Mus musculus chromosome 14, GRC primary reference assembly.
GGAAGGCUGAGCUGGUAAAGUGCUUGCUCUGAGCGCAUGAAGAACUGGGUUCAAGUCCCAGCAUCCA